rnacentral:rRNA from 1 species
AGAGUUUGAUCCUGGCUCAGGACGAACGCUGGCGGCGCGCUUAACACAUGCAAGUCGAACGUGAAGCCCGGGCUUGCCCGGGUGGAAAGUGGCGAACGGGUGCGUAACACGUGAGCAACCUGCCCCGAAGACCGGGAUAACACCGGGAAACCGGUGCUAAUACCGGAUGCCCUCACCACGUCGCAUGGCAAGGUGAGGAAAUGGAUUCCGCUUCGGGAUGGGCUCGCGGCCUAUCAGCUUGUUGGUGGGGUAACGGCCUACCAAGGCAACGACGGGUAGCUGGUCUGAGAGGAUGUCCAGCCACACUGGGACUGAGACACGGCCCAGACUCCUACGGGAGGCAGCAGUGGGGAAUCUUGCACAAUGGGCGAAAGCCUGAUGCAGCGACGCCGCGUGCGGGAUGAAGGCCUUCGGGUUGUAAACCGCUUUCAGCAGGGACGAUUGUGACGGUACCUGCAGAAGAAGCCCCGGCCAACUACGUGCCAGCAGCCGCGGUAAUAC